ACAUCUGCCAAAAGAUGAAACUAUAAAAUAGGUAUCAUUGCCCCUUUCUUAUUUGUCUCAUUUGCGAAUCGUCAGAAGCUAAACCUCUAAUUGUCACUGCUUUAACUUCUACUGAUCUAAAUCCAAACCUUUAAGAUGAAAUCCAUCCUUUUGAUCGUGCUGUGUGUGUUUUUGAUGGCCUCUGCAAAAGUUGUCAUGGCAGGGCAUGGUUGUUACUGUGUGUAUCACAACGACAAAACGUGCAGUGAUUAUUGCCAGGGCGAACUUAGCUGCAGAGGUGGAUACUGCGGUUCGGCUUGGUGUGUUUGCAAAUGUGUUGGUUGCAAUGGGUAACUGGAAAGAUAGAAUGGGAAUCAGACAACAUAACCGCUUUGUCGCAAUGAAUUGAUAUUAAAUCAUUAAAAAAAAAUUGGUUGUUAGUUCGUUAGUUAUUUUAAAUUUAAUGA